GGGUGGGAGCAGAUUCUUUCCUGCUGCCUCAUUGCGGCUCCGAGAAAGGAAGUGUGAGUGCCCAGGGUGGGCACCCUGCACACAACCGCAGCCCAUCCGUGGGCAGUUGAGCCUGCCGUCUCGGGGGGAUGCUGUCACGGUGAUGCUGAUCAGAGUAGCCACCACAGCCAAUGGUCAGCUGAUCCCACAAGCCCUCCCUGCUCCUUAGCAGUUGAAAGAGCCACUGCAUGAAGACAUCUGGAUGGGAACACUGCAAGCCUUCGGCCAGUAAUACAUACUCAUUGAGAAGAACUCGAAAAUAUGUAACAAACCUGCACGUUGUGCACAUGUACCCUAGAAC